rnacentral:rRNA from 1 species
AUUGAACGCUGGCGGCAGGCCUAACACAUGCAAGUCGAGCGAGCGGCGGACGGGUGAGUAAUGCCUGGGAAUUGCCCAGUCGAGGGGGAUAACAGUUGGAAACGACUGCUAAUACCGCAUACGAUUGGAUUGCCCAGGUGGGAUUAGCUAGUUGGUGAGGUAAUGGCUCACCAAGGCGACGAUCCCUAGCUGGUCUGAGAGGAUGAUCAUGCACAAUGAAACGGAGACACGGUCCAGACUCCUACGGGAGGCAGCAGUGGGGAAUAUUGGACAAUGGGGGAAGCCCUGAUGCAGCCAUGCCGGGUGUGUGAAGAGGGCUUUCGGGUUGCAAUGCACUUUAAGCGAGGAGGCGUUACUCGCAUAAGAAGCACCGGCUAACUACGUUCCAGCCGCCGCGGUAAUUC